rnacentral:rRNA from 1 species
AGUGAACGCUGGCGGUAGGCCUAACACAUGCAAGUCGAACGGCAGCACAGUAAGAGCUUGCUCUUACGGGUGGCGAGAGGCGGACGGGUGAGGAAUACAUCGGAAUCUACUUUUUCGUGGGGGAUAACGUAGGGAAACUUACGCUAAUACCGCAUACGACCUACGGGUGAAAGCAGGGGAUCUUCGGACCUUGCGCGAUUGAAUGAGCCGAUGUCGGAUUAGCUAGUUGGCGGGGUAAAGGCCCACCAAGGCGACGAUCCGUAGCUGGUCUGAGAGGAUGAUCAGCCAAACUGGAACUGAGACACGGUCCAGACUCCUACGGGAGGCAGCAGUGGGGAAUAUUGGACAAUGGGCGCAAGCCUGAUCCAGCCAUACCGCGUGGGUGAAGAAGGCCUUCGGGUUGUAAAGCCCUUUUGUUGGGAAAGAAAAGCAGCAGGUUAAUACCCCGCUGUUCUGACGGUACCCAAAGAAUAAGCACCGGCUAACUUCGUG